rnacentral:rRNA from 1 species
CCUACGGGUGGCAGCAGUGGGGAAUUUUGGACAAUGGGCGCAAGCCUGAUCCAGCUAUUCCGCGUGUGGGAAGACGGCCUUCGGGUUGUAAACCACUUUUGUAGAGAACGAAAAGUCUAUUGAUAAUACCGAUAGACGAUGCCGGUACUCUAAGAAUAAGCACCGGCUAACUACGUGCCAGCAGCCGCGGUAAUAAGCAGGGUGCGAGCGUUAAUCGGAAUUACUGGGCGAAAGGGGUGUGCAGGUGGUUUUGAAGGAUGGAUGUGAAAGCCACGGGCUAAACCUGGGAAAGCCAUACAUGACUACAAGACUAGAGUGCGUCAGAGGGGGGUGGAAUUCCAAGUGUAGCAGUGAAAUGCGUAGAUAUUGGAAGAACACCGAUGGCGAAGGCAGCCCCCUGGGACGCAACUGACGCUCAUACACGAAAGCGUGGGGAGCAAACAGGAUUAGAUACCCUGGUAGUC